UCUAGAAAAUUCAUCAGUGCCGAACGCAUCAAUUCCGUUCGACACGUAUCCGCGCGGCUAUCGCGAAUCGAAUUACCGAUAAGUAUGCGCAGCCAUGUGGAGAUAAACAAAUUCGUCCUUACGGAAAGUUGGUAAUAUCGUCACCUUCGAUUACCACUACGAACCCGCCCGCGAAUUUACUAAAGUUACCCGGGUCUUCAUCUCAGCCACUUCACCGGUGAGACUUCAACUUGUCAUCCUUUCUGCGUACCCACGAUCCUGCAAGCGCAUAUUAUCCAGCACGGGAAUGACUGUUGUUACAAUCUGCCACUCUGCUCGCUAUUUAUUAACGAAUCGGCAUUUCAUGUUCGAGGAUGAGUACCCGCGAGUCCCGAAGAUGUUCGAUAGAGAAGAACACGCGCGGCUGGACGACUCUCUCUCUGCGACAACAAUGACCGGAUGUGCAAACGUUCGAUGAGAAGCGGCGCUCCCCUCCGCCCCUCAAGGGAAUUCCAUCAUCGCGAUUUGUUGUUUGAGACGAUUAGGCGAUUUGCGGCGCGGUGCGCAACGGAGCGCUAAGCGACGCUCCCUUCGAUGGAUCUCCACUUGGGAGAUUCAUCACUCUGCUAAUGGGGCAAUUAAUGGAGCGAAAAACAUGGCCCACAUGAUGCGCAAGGAGGCGCAAGAGGUCUCCUCUACGAGACUCGCGCUUCAUACGUGAGACACUCGAGCUAAUAUCUCGAAUUAAUUCAUCUAUACUCAGAGAUUACAGCCAGGCCUUUAAUUCGUCUGUCAGUCGCGCAGAGAAGAUUCUCCUUAAGACUUGGCCGGCAGGUGGAAACUUCUCAAGGACGUCUCAGAGGUGUCUUUAAGACGUCCCACUUUUCUCAGCAUCUAGACGUCUUUCAAAAGUUUCCGCCACCUGAGUGAUUAACACGUUCGCUACGAGUAUGUCACAUAUAUGUGACACGCCGACUUCUCGCUUGAAGUCCAUUUCCCUGCUCGUGAUAUUCGAUUCCGCUCAAGUUCGAUAGCGACACGUCGCACACG